UGGCCUACCUGAGAGCCUCAUUUGGAAAUACAGCAAAUCCAUUGUAAAGAGGAUCCCAACUGGGGAGGAAGCAAGGCCAUGGAGAGCCAGAGACGUGAAGGGUACUGAAUAUGUCCUUCAGGAUAAGUGAAUAUGAAUGCUUUAUCGAAGUAUGACUGACAAAAUUUUAUAAAUUUAGGUUGUACAAGAUGAUUUUAAC